ACCCUAAGGGAUUUGGGGAGACCUGAAAUGGUGCACAGCCCGAGACUGGGAAGCACAAGGAUGCAGCAAGGAUUGAGCAGGGUCUCCCUAGCAGCAUGUUUUUAAUAGCUGGUGAUAUUUAACAGCUGUUUUAUCAAACUGGACUGAAACACCUCCAGCACAGUCCUCUCUGCCCCAGUGGGUUAGAAAGAGUGCUUGAAUGGAGCUGGAGAGAGGUUACAGAGCUUUACCCAGUUCUUAAGGCAUUAAGUCACCUCCAUUUUGAGCAAGGACAAUUACACCUGUGUUGUUUUUAUUAAGAAAUGAAUGGCAAAGACUGAACUGUCUGGUUGUCUUUAAUGCUCUAUGGCACUAAGUUGUAAGACCUUGUUUGUGAUGAUGCCACAAUUAGGUCACCAGUAAGGUUAAAUUCCGCUUCUUGGGCGUGACAGAGACUUGGCCUGAGAUGAGUACAGGGUCUGUCAGCAUUCAUAAAAAGGAGUUAAUGAUGCGGCAGGCAAAGUGGAUAUCUGCCUGCUUCCUUUUCCUUAAUUAAGGGCAGUUGGUCACAGUGGGGCAACUCAGGCCAGGCUAGGAGAGUUAGCUACAGAAUAAGGUUUGACUCUAAUCCCUGCUGAGACUGACUGUGUUCCUUUCACAGUGGGUAUAAAAGACCUAAGGAGAUUUUGCAUGUAUUCUAAAAAUGUUGUCCAUCCUUGCAAUCUUAGGGUUUUGCGGUGUGAUCUGGAAAUAUAAUAAAAAGAGGCGCUGGGUGGCUUUGUGCUCCUGUGACUCUGAAGAAGCAUUUAAACCCUACCUGAUUCCAGUGUACUGUCACUGACUCUUGCAACAUCAUAAACUUUCUUAAUAUAAAUCUAAAGAUCAGAAACUUGUGUCUUAAGUUGUCACUGAUUAGUUAGAGACACAGUCCUGGAGCAGAGUUUGAACAGGUGGACAGGAUGGUCAAGACCAGGAUUUUCAAUAGUCCUUAUGACUCUGUCUCCAGACUUUCUCUUCAGAGCCUGUCCCAGCAUGGUUGUUCAUCAAGCGGUCACUUAGGAAGUGACCAGCAUGGGAAGAAUCAGGCUUAACUGCUCAUGUUGCAAUCUUCCCAGAGGAUGUGUUUACACCUGGACAACAAGCUUUGUUAUCCUUCUGGUCAAGAUGAGUAUUCACAUUAGUGUCUGACAAGCAGGAGGGAGGGAAUUCAGGAGAAAAAACAUCUUCAUCCAAGUCCAAAAGGCAAGGCUUUGUCUAUGUAAGUGUGAUCAGUUGCUCAGUGUUUGUUAUUACUGAACAGCUAAAUAAAAGGAAGAGUGCAUUUUAACUUGUCCCCUCCCUCCUGAGAGCAGAUGUAGGGAUAAAUCAGUACAGUUGGAUGUGAUGACAAACCAGAGGGCCAAGAAGGCAUCAAUGAUAUGAGACAUGUUUACACAGCAAAGGAAGAGGUAUGAUUUCCACAUGUGCCAGCCUGAGCUAUGAGAGCAGGGAAGGGAUGGGCAUUGGGCUUUGGUGUGUGGUUGGGAUGGGAGUCAGCAGUCUUUCAAAGUAUUGUGCUCUGUGCGGUUGCCUGAACUAAAGGCUGCAUGGCUCACCUUCACUCUCAGGGUUAACCAUAAACUAGAUAGGUUAGGCUAUACAGACAAGAUUUUAUGAGUCUGCAGUCAUAUCUCCUAUACCAUCAGUUUUCAACUGCAGAGACAAGAAAUCAAGUGCUGGAAUGCUCUUCUUGAAGACCAUCUCGAUAUUCUAUGUUGGCAUUUCAUGACUGCAGAAACACUGCUGGGCUUGGCAGGACUGGCUUAAAACCAGCACUGCUUUAGGGCAGGAUGAAGGUUCACUGACCAAAUAGUGUGGAGGAAAUCUUGGCUGUGCUUUAAUUUAUUGUCUUGCAUUGCUAGUAAAGCUAGAUGCAUAAAUCAUAAUGAUUAAUAAAUCUGUUAAUCCUCCUUUUUUCCUAUUUGCAAACUGUCUGAGCAAUUUUCUCAUCUGCAUUUGUUAUUCAGAAUUUUUCACUGAGUAAUUUCUGGAGAGAAUUCUUGUGUUUUUAUCUUGUCUGGGAAGUUAUGCUGUAUCUGACAUUGGAGCUGUUUUCAUUAGAGACAUAAAUCUUUCUUUUGUUGUUUCAGAAUCACAUUUCCCAUGCUACCAUUUGCAAUUACAGAUAUGAAACUUGCUUUCUUUGACGGCUCUUCAACAUCCAUUUAUCACUGGCUCUUUCAGCUGCUGUUGAAAUGCUAGUAAACUGUAUCACCCUUACAUUUGGGACUAAACACCAUACACAGAAGCAUGAAUGUACUUGCACAGAAAUUAAAAGAGUGAAUGAGCUCACUUUCACUUCAACUUCACUUCUGUGAAGUUUCCUUUUAUUGAUAGAGUUGCUAAAAUUUGUGCAUAUAGUCUGUAUUUUGUCUGAGUACCAAAUAUGUACAACAGAAAGGUGAGGCCAUCCAUGGGCUGUGUAUGUCGAAGGCAUGUGUCAAAGCAUGUAGCAUUACCAUCACCCUUGCUAUUUGCUCACCAGACACUAAUGCGUCAAUCCCUAAUCAAAGUGGCCUGUACAGGCACAGAGUAGACCUGACAGACUUCUCCACUGAUUAGAAAAGGCAGAAAGAAAUAAUUCAUUAUGGCAGUGAUCCUUCAAAUGGGGCAUAUGUAAUACAGUCAUUUGAGCAAUACUGGCCCAGGUUCAGCAGGAGUAGUGGGGAACGAGUCUAACUGGACAUCUGGUCCCCAGCUGGAUGGCAGAUGCUCCUUAGGGGCAUCCCAGGAGACUGAGUCCCUAGAGAUGGAGAGAUGGGAAAGCAGGUACCCAUCUUUCUAGGCCAGUGCUCUAACCAACAGGGGUGUAAAAAGGAAGAGGGCAGGAAGGUGAAUGUGGACCACUACUCUGUUCUGUACUUUAAAAGAAAGUGUUGGCCACCAUGGCCUUUUGGAGGGAGGAGAAUCCUGAAAAAUAUGCUCUGAGAAUGGUUACUAGGUCAAGAGCCUCAGGGAAAAGAGGAGGAGAAAUAUUUUGUUCCUUGAUCGUAACUCAGACACUAAGCUGCUCAGACAUCUCUGGGCUUGCAGAAAUGGAGAUUACUUGUCUCCGGGAUCAGGCUCCAGCUGAGAAAACGUUUCUCCAGGACACAGUUUUUGGAAUUGGGUGCCCAAAUUCCACUGAGGUCUCACUGGCUACAGCCUCUUUGACCUUGUCUGAUGUAAGUGUAAGGCUUUGGAGCAUGCUGCUCCAAUGUGAGCAGAGCAUUUUCUGUCAUGAAAGGAGAGGCUGGGACAGAAAAACUGUUCACAGGAAAAUGUCUUAGUGCAGGAAUUUUACCACUGUUGCUGGGAUAGUAUAUUUUAGUGUUGUAAUAGAGGGGAAAUUUUCUGACAAGCUUGAAGUCUAGAGCAUUCACCUUGAAUUAAGCAAAGGGUGGCAGUUGGUGGAACAAGAAUAUCUGAACUCAAAAGCAAGCCAAUGCAUGCAUGCAAAAACAUUUGGCAAUUGUUUAGUGGAACAACGACAGCCUUAAUAGCGCAGCAUUAGGCAGAGGGCCAAGAGGCAAAAAUAUUUGUAAAUAGGGUUUGCUAAUUUUUUCCACUGGCAAACAUAGCAAAAGAGGGAGGGGGGAAUUAGUGCUCUGAAGAGUCAGGCCUGGGAGCACAGGUCUCUCUAGGUUUAUGAACAGAAUCCUGCUGUAAUCCACAUCCCAAAUGCAAAUAAGUUUCUCUGUGUGUGUGUCUGUGUAUGCGUGUCUGUGUGUGUGCGCAGCAGAGGGAUAUAAAGAAGAUGUGGUAAGGAGGCAUUCCUCCAGUUCAGGAACAGGAGCUGCAGGAUAAUCAAAAAUACAGAAGGAACCUUGCUCCUCCUCAGAAGGAUGCCAAGGCCUAAUCAUGAAACCAAUGCUGGCAGGUGAGACUGAAUAUUUCUGCUUAUGGACCUGGCCUUUUGGAGGCUCUAUCAUAUUGUUGACGUUUGGGAGCUGUCAGAGUGGUUGCAUCUGUAUCCCAGAUCUCCUCCCUCCCCUUCACAGCUUCCUCCUGCUGUGACUGUACAAAGGAGUUGUCAUCUUAGACAUGUACUCUGAAGCACACUGAGAUAAGAUGAUUUGGGAGAUCUGUAGCAGAACCAGUCAGCAGCUGGGCCUAGAUUUACUCUCUUUCAUGUUACUUGGAGUUGUCUCUUCCUCAACCCCUUUUCAUUUAGAAAGAAAAUAUCCUGAGCAGAUCCUAUCUCUUCUGCUGCUGUUGCUGCUGCUCAUACCUACAUGGUGAACACGAGCUAUGUGCUGCUGACAGAGGAAUAGAUGGAAGUCAUGGGGGAUGUCACUUCUGUAGAAAUCAGUUUUUGAUUACAAAAUAGCAGAUAUCUUCUUCCAGUUUGUUUCUGGUCACAAACAGAAGUACGUUUCACAGGAGUGAAAAUUUUGGAAGAGCAGUCGUUCUUCUCCUUUCUGACAUUUGUGCAUCAGAUGAUAAGACCUACCUUUGAGCCCACAUUUUGCUCCUUGCCACAGUAAGAAUAAACUUGACUGUGAUACAAAUUUACUGCAGCAAAGAGCAGGCCAUAAGGAUUUUUUUGAACUUACGCAAUGGAUGAAUGGAAUGACCUCCUCAUACUGUUAAUGUUUCUUCUUGACCUUGAAGCGCAGUAACUCAUCUCUCUCAUCUGCACACAUUUCAUUAUCCAAACAGGUGAUACUUGUAUCACAGUUGGAUUUAAGCUGAAGGCUUUUGAGGUUCCCUUUUGAGGCAAAGCUUAUCUAUUUCAGAUUGGCUUCAGCUUAGCCAAAACUGAAGCUUUGAAUAAUUUGUAUCUAAAUAGUGAAAAAAGGAGUCUUGCAACACACACUGUUCAUGUGAAUAAUAGAAACCCUUACAAAAACCCAAAGGUGAUUAAUGAUAAACCUCCUGUUAACAUUUACCUGACAAAAAGAAAUAAAAAGGCAUAUUAGAGGUGACAAGAAGGAACUAAUGGGUGUUUUACACAAGUAAUGUCAGUAUUUCAGCAGUACUCUCUAAAUCACUGACUGCCGUUCUUCCUCCCUCUGAAAUAAUCUGAGCAUGUAUAAACUAAAAAAAGAAAUGUUCAAGGGAGAGCUUGCACACCUAACAGCUUUUUCAGAGGGGACUGGGAGCAGAGUAAACACAAAAUGUCUUAAGCUAAAGUUAUCUCACGAUAGGUAAUAAUAUCCUGCUGGCAUAUUUAGUUUUUCUACAGAAUGUUUUGCACGUCGAAGUUCUUACUUCCAUGAGAGAUAAGAAAAUAUGUGACUGUGUAGAAAAGCUUUGGGUGUCCAUCCUAUUUAAAACCAAACAAUGUGCUGCUUCCUCACUGAUGUACAGAAGCGAGGAGUGGGUUCUUAGGACAAUCAAUCCUCUGAAAUAUUUUUUCACAGUCAGUUUGGUGAAGAGUCAAGCACAGAUUUUUAUGUCUCCUUUUUAACUUCUCUGCUGCAUGCCUGGAGACUUCAUGUUUUGCCCAUCUGGUUGUGGGAGGUUGAACCAAAUUCUCCCUCCAGGUCACUGAUGCUGCGCUGCAGCUAACUACGUAGGUGAGCAUGCAGCACCUUUGCGCUUUCCUGAUUUUGGAGGGGAUCUGGGAGCCAUGCAGGAACUGUGCACAAUAGCUGAAACACCUAUGGUCUCCACCAGACGUCUCCUGAUCCUCCUUUGACACGUUAGCCCUGGGCCAGUGAGGUGGUGACGUAGAAUCAGUAGCAAGCCAUCAAGUUUGGUCUGGGGGCUCUGCAGCCCAUGUUUGCCUGAAGACUUGGGCUGCAGAAGCCUAGAACUUGGUCCUGGCAGUUCAAGAAGCCGUACUUAUUUAUUAAUGCAUUUAAUAAAUAUUGAAAGAGCAAAAGGUCAUGGGCUGACUCUCAUGCGAAAGUUUUGCUCUUUGCAGAGUACAGAAGGUUGCUUACAGUGAGAUUGGGAAGCAAGCCCCCCAGCUCACUGCUUUUGUGGCUUGUGACUGAAUCCCACUAAAAACAACUUGUGAUUUAUUUCAGCUGCAUAAUAAUAUUACAAAGUAAUAAAAAUAAAGGCAUAUUUAAUGAUGUCCUUCCAUUAAAUGGUAUGCCCUGGCUGUCUACCAAUGGCUCUGCAGACCUACUGGCGCCUGUGUCAAGACUCUUUCUUUCACUGUGGGGAGAGACAUUAAAUACCACGAUAGAGUCCUAUGUACCACCAGGUUAUGCUGCACAAUUCAUUUCCAUUAGGCAAGUAAUUUUUUCCUUUUCUUGGCCAUUGCAACUUUGUUAUGCUAAUAAAUACACUUGUGUAGUGGGACCCAAUUUAAACAAAGACUUGACAUAGUAACUUUGCUGGACACAUCCAGAAUGGGACAUCUGGGUCUCAUCACAGCCAAAGGUCUCUUCUCUCACCCUCUCAUCUUCACAACAUAUCAGUGCUCUCAAGCACAGCUCUCUCGAAGUCUCCAGUAUGCAUUUGUUAUUUUCAUUAUUAGCUGAAAAAAAUCAGGCAAUCCCUGUUCAGAAGGGGAAAGGAAGAAGGGUUUUCAGUUGCACAGGGAACUGGAGAAAAAAUGAGGAGGAGAGGAAUUACAAUGGUAGGACAAAAAUCAUUUAUUGACAUCUUCCUUCUCAAAGGAUUCAGAAGCAUUUUACAAACUGGAUACAGAUCAGUGCUCCAAAAAACAAAAUGCUGCUAUCUCUUGGGCAAAAGUACAGUGGCCAUGCUUGUCCUCCUAGUGUACAAUGCAAUGCGUGUGGUGGAUACUACCCCAUACAGCAGUUCAGCAGAGGAGGGCUGAGCAGGCAGCGUUACAGUCCACUGAUGGUUCAGAGUCUCAAAAGCCUGUUUCUGUGAAAAGUGCAAUGGUACUUGUUUGUUAGGAUCUUCAUUUUCUGCCCUUGCUGUGCUAUUUGGGAUAGGCUGGAAGUUGCUCUCAAGCAGCCAAAGUGAAGUGAGCAGCUUUUCCCCAUAUGUACUACCACGUGCUGAUUUGCUGCAGAAAAAACCUGGAAUUGCACGUGCUUUCACCCCACAUCAGACCACACCACAUCACACCACACCACACCACACCACACACCACACCACAUCACAUCACACCACACCACACCACACCACACCACAUCAAUCACAGCUGCUGUGUCCACCUUGGAUAAUACCCAGUAAACCGCAGUAAAGCUGCUCAUGCUGCAGGGUCCGUCUAUUUAACCCGCCUGCCACGUUCCUACCUAGGGACAGUGCAAGCAGCUAGGGAGAUGCUGGAGUGCCUGGAGGUCAGAAACAGAGUGUUUGAGGGUAGUGGUGCUGCACUUCUCCUGCUUGAAUAAAUGCCAAAUAUUCUGAGGAGAGAGGCAGGGAAGAGGGCAGGCGAGGCGGCUGGAUUCAGACACAAAACCUCAGCAGAGCUUCCAGGGUCUGGAGCUGCCAUCAGGGGCUUGCAGUGUAGAUGUUGUGCAGCGUGAGAUUAAAGCUAACAACCAGGAGCAAUACUGCCAUGAAGGUCCUUAGUGCUAUGUAAAGGGCUCGGUUCAUCUCUGGCUCAGGGAUCGUUUCCCACAUAAUGAAUUACCAGCACCACUUUCUGUAGCGCUUGUGUUUUCCUUGACAGUUUCCCAUCCAAGGAUCCAGCAAUGUUGACCUUGGUUAAUUAUUCCCAGAGGGAACAUAUACGCACAGCAUCCUCCCACAUGAAGCUGUGCUGCCAGACGAAUCCCAACCUGUUCCAGAGGUGGAGGAAAAGGAACCUGGGGGCAGAGAGAACAGCUCUGCCCACUUGCCGCUCUCUCUGAAUGACCCUCUCCUGUAUCAUCUUGAUUUCCCCAUCAGACCUUGAACUAUGAUGCUCUAUUUACUUGGCUGAAGAGCCAAAUGAGUUUGGCAUCUGUCACUCUUCCAUUUACAAAUUAGUGGCCAAUGCUGGAAGUAUUUUAUUUAUUUUUUUAUUCUCUUCUUGUAAGAUAUUGUUUGUUUAGUCACAGAAACAAAGCAUGAAUGAUUACAGCAAGGUUUCUGCCAAGCAUUUUUUAUGCACUCCAGAGUGCCCCUUCUCAUGCCAUGAUUGGAUCCACUCAUCAGUUGUGGAGACGUUUUGAGAGGGGGAAAAAAUGUUCUUCAACGUGCUACUGUCUUCUGGCCCUUCUGCUCAGCGAUGUUCCUGAGCGACAAGAAUGUAACUUGGCUAGGCCAGGAAGCAAAGCCUCAUGGCAGGCAGCCUAGGCUGCCUCUCCUAACAAACCCAAAGUGUUUACUGAAUCUGUGCGCUUAACUGAGACUUCAUGCUCUGUUGCUUGAUUUCUCGUGACAGCUCACUAUUAAAUUAAUCUGACAUAUUAGCCCAAUGAGAAUUUAAUAACAUAUUACAUAAUUAUUACAUAUUCUAUAAAAUAAAUUAUAAAUGGACAUACUAUGUCAUACAGAAUUAACAUGUUUUACACCAGCUUCCUUUGCAGCCAUCCCCCAGUCACAGUGGUCUUGGUAAAGGGCUAAAAUGGUAAUAACGAAAACAUGCUGAAGUAAAAUGUUUAACAGUUGAUUUUUCCUUAUACCUCAUAAAUAAGGAAGGAGAAGGAGAAGGAGAAGGAGGAGGAGAAGGAGAAGGAGAAGGAGAAGGAGGAGAGCCCAGCAUUUUUCCCUUCCCACUUUGCAUUUUACUGAAAUUGCAGGUCUAGCCAGUUCUGUGACAAAAAUACAAACAAACUCUGGAGAGCUGGGGGUGUCUGACUUAAGGAGAUUGGCUGGCUAGGUGCAGGGCCUAACCUUUAAUCUGCCUUGAUCGCUCCUCCAGGAUCUCUUUCAAAAGCUCUUUUUCUUCACUCUAAUGUUCUGCCAAUCAUAAUUUGUAUUUCUGAACGCAUGAAAGAACUGUUUCCUGUCUCCGGUGGAAAGAGGGAGGGAAAAAAAAGUAUUUAAAGUCAAAACGAAAUUUUUCUUUUAAAGCCUACUACAGGAAAACAAAAGCCGUUUCCAUUACGGGCACAGUUCAGGCGUCUCUUUAAAAGCAGUCACACACAGGAGGUGUUAACAAGCCAUGUGCAUGGGGUUACAUUCUGUUUUCCAUUCAAGUGUCAGCUUCGCUAGCUUGCAAUCGGAGGCAAAUCAGUGAUCCAUGGCUGAGCACAUCAGAAAGGUAUGAUGUAAUGGGCUCUGCGCUCAAUCCAUCCUUCACACGGGCAGCGGAGCCCCGUCCCAUCGAGUUAAUCAUUGACAUGAGACAUGAAAGAAUCGCCUGGGCACUGACGCGGGAGGGGUCUCGGGAGGGGAGCACGUAACCCCCCCCCAAGCUGAAGAGGUGGAAAUUUUUCUCUCUUACCCGGCCACCGAAGUCUUGAGGAGGUGCUUGGCACUGCUGGGAAAAAGGCUCUUUGAUGAGAAUUGGAUGCCAGCUCCCUGUUUGGAGGUGCUGGUUUAUGUGUAGCAGCUCCCCACCACCACUCGGCUAAUCUCUAUUACAUAUCUACAGACAAAACAGCUACUUGGCAUUGUGUUGCGGAUGUCUGCAACUUUUGCCAGGACGUUGAACAGAGGCCAGGAACUUGGGUGGAGACAGGAGCCAGAAGGUCAUCUGGGGUUGCUGCUCUUUGUUAGAGCUAAAUAACGUUGCGAAUGUAUUAAGCCCCUUUCCAUGCACUGAUUUUAUUUUUUUUUCAAUGCCUUCAAUAGUCUUUUUUUUUUUUUUAACUGCACUGGAUUCAUGUACAAAUAUGCAAGGCAGAGCAGUUUGCUCAUUUGCACUUAGCAUGAAACCCUAAGUUUGAGGUUUUUUUAAAGAAAAAAGCACCAACAUACUCACUGCAAGGGUUUGCUCUGUGAGAACAAGAACUUGGGUGCUUUGUCAUUUCCUCUCUUUCAGACACUGAUCAGACACUCACCUUCACGAAACUAUCAGACAAUCUCAUUACUGUUCCCUAAGAGGAGAAGUUUAAAAGAACAACAACAACAAAAAAAGCUGGAAGUGGGCUGAAGCAAAUUGUGGCAUCUGGAAUUGCAAAGUUGCUGCUGGAUCCUACACCCCUGCUGAGCGCUGGUCAUGCUGAUGGAACACCCUGGUGGGGACUGAAAAAUGCACGAGUAUUCUUUUGUCCAUGAACACAUACUGUCUAUUGAAAUCUAUCCAUCCCCUGCUCCACUGCCUAGGGUACAAAAGCCAUUGGGAGAUGUGUUGUUGAGAUUGACAUCACCAGGCUUUUGGUGCUGGGGGACAACCCUAUUCUGCUCCAGGGGACACAGCACCAGAUGCUGCUGCUGACAACAGCAGCCCUGUGCUGCUUCAGGACCCAGCCUAGUGCCCAAACAGACUGGUGGGAGCAAAAGGGAGUCACCGGCGUUUCCCAUUAACUUCUGGAGUUCGCUGCUUUCCUCAACAUACCAAAAUGUGCGUCUCAGGGUUCUCAGCUGUAUGAAGAAUUGGAUAUGUGGCUUGUAAGGUCAGAAAGGUUGGCUGUUCCUGGGUACACACGUUUUCUUAAUGCACGUUUGGGAGGGUCAAUGCACUGUGUCAGCAAAAACAGCUCCGCACACAGAUAUACAUCCACAUAUUGGAAAGAAGGGAGACAGAUGGUCUCUAUUACCCCAUGUAACCAAACGCAGGAUGCAGAUGAUCCAAAACAAUUAGAACGGGAGUUUUUCUAUCAGAGUUUUGAAGAGAUUUCAUUCAUCACAUACUUAGUGGCAUGGCUCCAGCUCCAAGGAUAUAUCUGGGAUGGGAAUUUAAAAAUAUUCAUAAUAAAGUUUUUCUGCUCAGUAUCAUGUUAUGAAUUCGAAGUGUAAAAUGCCUUGACUCUUUAAAACCAGAAGCAAGAGUUAUGCACCACCCUGAUCCUGUGAGUUUCCCUUUUCCAAUGGGAUCACAAGAGUGUUUCUCCACUUUCUUCAUGCCAAGGACCACCUAAAUUUUUAGGAAAAUGAGUCAUCAGACCAAUUAUAUUACUGCUGCCACAACGUUUUCAUUUACAGCAGCAAAACACCAGGCUGAUAUUUGCACAUCUGUGUAUUUUCUCCAUUUUGCCUCCUUGCUGCUAUACUGUGAGAAUGUGCCUGGUUUUCAUUUUUGAAAAUAGUUUUAAUCGGUAUGUGGAUCCUCUCCUAAAGUUUCAGGGACCACUAGAGGUCCCCAGCCAGUGCUGCAAAACACUUGCCCAGGGCACCCCUUUCCAAUCGCCAGUUUACCUUGGCCCACUGGCAUCGCAGCAGGAUGAAUUACCGUCUUUGGCCUCUUGCUGAUGUAACUAAGCAGGAAGAAAUGUCACGUUCGUACCAAGCUGGGGAAAAUAUUCAUUUAGCAGGUGCGUACGUGUUGGUUUUAUCCCCUGACUGCUGAAGCUGCUCAGUGCUUUGGAAUUCUCCUUGCCUUUAAGGAGGGGUUAAUGGGCAGAGUGAAGGUUAUUAUCCUAUAAACACAGAUGAUCACAUGAACCUGCCACUUCUCAGCACCUCCUUAUAAGAGAAAGGGAUGAGUUUGGAAAAGAUCAUCUAAAAGAGGGACCUAGAGAAUCAGACCUUUAAAUCCAUAUUUAGUUCCUGAGCUGAUUUUUCUUCAGAAGUGCUGCUCCUAAGUAACUCCUCCAGUUCAGUAGAAGUCAUUGUAAUGAAAAAGUCUGUGUGUAUGGAUGCCAUAUAUUUUAAAUCACUUCAUCUCCUGUUAAAGCACAGCCACUUCUGGGUAACAACACGGCAGAUGUUUAAUAUGUCAUGUCACAGCAGCUCUCCAUAGCAGAUUUCAGCAGGACAGGAAGAAUGCCAUGAAACUGCAAGAAGGAUUUAGUUAGGCGAGACACAAUUACCAAAGUUGGACUAUGUCCAGGACACUGGGGCAAACCCUCCUGCCUUUGCAAAUUUGAUUUUAACAACUUUAAUUUUAAACACCUGAUAGUCGUAUUUCUUGCCAAAGGAACAGAUUGCCAAAGGAAAGUAAGAGAGGCAGCAUUUCCUAAGCAAAAAAAAAAAACUCUCAGAAAAUGAAGAAAGGGGGAAAAAAAAGUUUCCUCCUAUAUGGUUUGUGACACCUCAGUGGGAAACCAUGAAAUAUCCGCUGCAGAAACACAUUUUCUGGGCUGUAGGUCAUCUCAGCUUAUAUUACCCCACAGCCUUGAGCCAGUAUUUUGUGCGUGGAAGUGAUGAAUUGUAGAACAUGGAACAGCACAAGGGGAUCAGCCUACAAAGGCCAGGUCAGAGCAGUGCAGAAAGAAAACAAGAACAUGCCUAAAAAGAAGAAAAUUCGAUUUCUUUUGCUAUUAAAACAUUUAUGCACCAGAAUUUAUUGAUGACAUUGCAAAUAUCCACAUCCAACAACCUAAUGGUUCAACACACCGGCUUGCUUAUGUGGAAUUCAGCUGCAUCUAUGGCAUUGCAACAAAACAAGCAAAGCAAAAUGAAUACCUGAAAGAAAGUACCUUGUAUAACAUAGACCCUCUGAUAGAUAGCUUCUCCAGGAAACCAAUACUACCCUACAGAAGGGUACUUCAGAGUAGUUUGCAGAAGAGUUGCUUUAAGUAGAAAAAAAGCUGUACUUGCAUCAACCUGAAAAUAACUGGAAGUACAUGGAGAAUCUCUUUUCCUCGCUUUUUCACCCAAGUGAAACAACCUUCUCCAGUUGCUGCUGCAAGGAAUUUAAUGAAAUAAUUCAUAACCGAGAGAUUAUUUCCAUGUUUGUAUGAAACAUAAAACAAGCAUUCUGGGACUUGCUCUGUACCAUUUUCAGCUCAGGUUAUGUUGCACGUGGGACACAUUUAUCUCGUAUGGAAAAAAUCUGAGCUACUGAUUUCCCUAAUGUAUAGGCGGGUCACACCGUGGUUAUCAGCGGAAGCUAGGUUGUGGCUGUUGAGUAGUAUAUGGCCCUGAGUCACGCAUGCAGCUUCUAUUCAAAAAAAGGGGAAGGAAGGAGGGCUCAGGUAGAUGUAAUUGUACCUACUUACCAGCAUACUGAGGUUACAGGACGCUGCGGGUUCCUGAUGCAGUCUCCCUUCUGCUGUGUACUCCUUACACAGCCACACAAGACCUUAAACCAGUUCUGCUACCCUGUCUUUAAUGCCUGAACACAUCCCCUUGCUUCUCAUUAUGAUAAAGUGCUGUUUUGGGGUUUGAUGGGCAUCCACAGACCCCUGCAGCCCAUCAAACUCACAGGUCAGCAACUAAGCCCUGAAUGGCUUUGUUAGAGGAUUAAAUUUGGUAUGUUCAACACACUGUUUAUGCCCAGGGAAUGAAGCAGACCAAAGCUUCAGUGUACUGCUUUUUCAAUCAGGUCUGCUGCCUCAUUUAAAGAAUGGGAAUAUUUUAGACCCACCUACUAUUAAAAAAUAUUAUUAUUACGGCUUUGCUACAUACUGACAUAUCCCUUUGUGCAUACUGUUUUAAACAAGAAAGUGCAAUUCACACGUUGAACAUAAAGAACAUAAUGAAAUAGUCCGUGUUUCACUGUUUCCUCAUCAGCACGAUAAUGAAACACAGAUAUGCUUUAUCUACCCUGGUGAUGAUGAAGCUCAGACACUAAUCAGAGGUUUGUUGUUAUUUUUGGCUGUCACACACACAAAAAUACAGCGGAAACAAUUUUUCUUUAUCUUUUAAAACCCAUGCAUGUAGAAAGGAGGCAAUGGCUUUACACAGUUAUCUGCUUAUCCAUUUAUUCUGUAAAAUAAAAGGAGUAGUGCAAAACAUCUCAGCCUCACUUCUCCUCUGGUGUAAAUUAAGGUGGUUCCAGCACCCUGUACACCAGGGCAGGAUUAGGCCCUCUGGUACAAGUAUAUGAAUUUCCCAUUUCA